UGCCAGCCGCCGCGGUAAUACGUAGGGUCCGAGCGUUAUCCGGAAUCAUUGGGCGUAAAGAGCUCGUAGGCGGUUCAGCAAGUCGGCUGUGAAAGUUCGAGGCUCAACCUCGAAAUUGCAGUCGAUACUGCUGUGACUUGAAUUCGGUAGAGGAGAAUGGAAUUCCCGGUGUAGCGGUGAAAUGCGCAGAUAUCGGGAGGAACACCAGUAGCGAAGGCGGUUCUCUGGGCCGAUAUUGGCGCUGAGGAGCGAAAGCGUGGGGAGCAAACAGGAUUAGAUA
rnacentral:rRNA from 1 species